rnacentral:lncRNA from 1 species
ACAAGGUGAAAGAGAGGAAGAAGAGAACGUUAUAUCUAUUGUUCUUUCACAUUUUUUUCUUUCAUGCUUUUUUAUUAUUUUAUUUUUUUAUUAUAAGAUUAAUUAAUUAGUAAUAUUAAUUGAUUAAUGUUGUUUUGGUUAAUUACAUUCAAUCAAUUUGACUAUAUUUAACUACACUAAUUUGAUUAAUUUUAUUUUUUUACCACAUUAAUUCUUUUCAAAUAUUUUUUAUAAUUAAUUUUAAUUAGGAUAUUUAAUUGAUUGUAAUUGUUA